GACAAAUGCCCUGCUUCCAGGAAAAGCCUCUAAGCAUCAGGUAACAUCAAAUCGUACCCCAAACCGACACAGGUGGUCAGGUAGAGAAUACCAAGGCGCUUGAGAGAACUCGGGUGAAGGAACUAGGCAAAAUGGUGCCGUAACUUCGGGAGAAGGCACGCUGAUAUGUAGGUGAAGCGACUUGCUCGUGGAGCUGAAAUCAGUCGAAGAUACCAGCUGGCUGCAACUGUUUAUUAAAAACACAGCACUGUGCAAACACGAAAGUGGACGUAUACGGUGUGACGCCUGCCCGGUGCCGGAAGGUUAAUUGAUGGGGUUAGCGGUAACGCGAAGCUCUUGAUCGAAGCCCCGGUAAACGGCGGCCGUAACUAUAACGGUCCUAAGGUAGCGAAAUUCCUUGUCGGGUAAGUUCCGACCUGCACGAAUGGCGUAAUGAUGGCCAGGCUGUCUCCACCCGAGACUCAGUGAAAUUGAACUCGCUGUGAAGAUGCAGUGUACCCGCGGCAAGACGGAAAGACCCCGUGAACCUUUACUAUAGCUUGACACUGAACAUUGAGCCUUGAUGUGUAGGAUAGGUGGGAGGCUUUGAAGUGUGGACGCCAGUCUGCAUGGAGCCGACCUUGAAAUACCACCCUUUAAUGUUUGAUGUUCUAACGUUGGCCCCUAAUCGGGGUUGCGGACAGUGUCUGGUGGGUAGUUUGACUGGGGCGGUCUCCUCCUAAAGAGUAACGGAGGAGCACGAAGGUUGGCUAAUCCUGGUCGGACAUCAGGAGGUUAGUGCAAUGGCAUAAGCCAGCUUGACUGCGAGCGUGACGGCGCGAGCAGGUGCGAAAGCAGGUCAUAGUGAUCCGGUGGUUCUGAAUGGAAGGGCCAUCGCUCAACGGAUAAAAGGUACUCCGGGGAUAACAGGCUGAUACCGCCCAAGAGUUCAUAUCGACGGCGGUGUUUGGCACCUCGAUGUCGGCUCAUCACAUCCUGGGGCUGAAGUAGGUCCCAAGGGUAUGGCUGUUCGCCAUUUAAAGUGGUACGCGAGCUGGGUUUAGAACGUCGUGAGACAGUUCGGUCCCUAUCUGCCGUGGGCGCUGGAGAACUGAGGGGGGCUGCUCCUAGUACGAGAGGACCGGAGUGGACGCAUCACUGGUGUUCGGGUUGUCAUGCCAAUGGCACUGCCCGGUAGCUAAAUGCGGAAGAGAUAAGUGCUGAAAGCAUCUAAGCACGAAACUUGCCCCGAGAUGAGUUCUCCCUGACUCCUUGAGAGUCCUGAAGGAACGUUGAAGACGACGACGUUGAUAGGCCGGGUGUGUAAGCGCAGCGAUGCGUUGAGCUAACCGGUACUAAUGAACCGUGAGGCUUAACCUUACAACGCCGAAG
rnacentral:rRNA from 1 species